GGAGAUCUUGGUCUCUACAUGAGAUGCUCCUUUCUAUCUACAAGAUAGAGGAUGAAUCAUGCGAACAAAAUAUAAUGUGAAGCAUGGAUUCGUACUCUCUGCUGGCAGGAGGUAUGCUCAGACAUCUGUGGCGCUGCAUUGAAUUUGGUCAUACGGUAGAGAACCGUGUUCUAAUUGAUCUGAUAGAGGGGUAGUGUGAGGCAAACUUAGAGCUGGGUUCAGCAGUCUCCGGUUGCAGCUAUAACCGUCUAGAAAACCCAUGAGACAGCGACUCAGCCAUUACUUUGACCCUGAGGUAUUGGAGCAAUAAUAAUUUCCAAGAGAGGCGAUUACAAUCCGGGUGUUAAGAAAACUACGAAGAAAUUAAAGUCGAAAACUUGGAACUAAUUCGCAGUACGUACGUUUGUCUUUAAAAUGAAGGAUUUCUUUAUGUAAAAGGGGGAUUGAGCAAAAAAAUACUUUGUUGAAGUCCAUACGCUAUUCUAUAUAGCAGUAAUACUUCGGCGUUUUGAGCGAGAUCUCUAAUGAAGCCAAAUAAGGGAACUUCAAGAAGGCAGAAGCUCAAACGUACCUCGGUAUGUCGAUCUUGUCUCCGCCAUUCUUCCUCUCCUUUGGAUGCGGUUGCUAUAACCCUUAGGCCUCUUUCUUCAUUUAUAGAUGGUUGAUGGCGAGGAGUCCAAUCUUUACGAGGAGUUCCAAUCUCCAGGACUCUCACCUCUUGAAACUCCACGUGAAGAAAGAUGAGAAGGUGCUGACCUGUCAACC
rnacentral:lncRNA from 1 species